AGCGAACGCUGGCGGCAGGCCUAACACAUGCAAGUCGAACGGACCCUUCGGGGUUAGUGGCGGACGGGUGAGUAACACGUGGGAACGUGCCUUUAGGUUCGGAAUAGCUCCUGGAAACGGGUGGUAAUGCCGAAUGUGCCCUUCGGGGGAAAGAUUUAUCGCCUUUAGAGCGGCCCGCGUCUGAUUAGCUAGUUGGUGGGGUAACGGCUCACCAAGGCGACGAUCAGUAGCUGGUCUGAGAGGAUGACCAGCCACACUGGGACUGGGACACGGCCCAGACUCCUACGGAAGGCAGCAGUGGGGAAGCUGGCGCAAUGGGCGAAAGCCGGACGCAGCCAGGCCGCGUGAAUGAUGAAGGUCUUAGGAUUGUAAAAUUCUUUCACCGGGGACGAUAAUGACGGUACCCGGAGAAGAAGCCCCGGCUAACUUCGU
rnacentral:rRNA from 1 species